rfam:Gossypium raimondii Chr03_contig_486, whole genome shotgun sequence.
AAUAGGAGAAUGUCAAAUCAGAUUUUUUCUCCUGAUUUUUAAGUUUUUUCCUACUGAACAAUAUUCAAAUCCAAUUAAAAAUGUUAAAAAUUAGGAGAAAAAUAUAAUUUGUCAUUCUCCUAUU